rnacentral:rRNA from 1 species
AAGUUUCCCUCAGGAUAGCUGGUGCAUUUUAAUGUUAUAUAAAAUAAUCUUAUCUGGUAAAGCGAAUGAUUAGAGGCCUUAGGGUCGAAACGAUCUUAACCUAUUCUCAAACUUUAAAUGGGUAAGAACCUUAACUUUCUUGAUAUGAAGUUUAAGGUUAUGAUAUAAUGUGCCCAGUGGGCCACUUUUGGUAAGCAGAACUGGCGCUGUGGGAUGAACCAAACGUAAUGUUACGGUGCCCAAAUUAACAACUCAUGCAGAUACCAUGAAAGGCGUUGGUUGCUUAAAACAGCAGGACGGUGAUCAUGGAAGUCGAAAUCCGCUAAGGAGUGUGUAACAACUCACCUGCCGAAGCAACUAGCCCUUAAAAUGGAUGGCGCUUAAGUUGUAUACCUAUACAUUACCGCUAAAGUAGAUGAUUUAUAUUACUUGUAAUAUAAAUUUUGAAACUUUAGUGAGUAGGAAGGUACAAUGGUAUGCGUAGAAGUGUUUGGCGUAAGCCUGCAUGGAGCUGCCAUUGGUACAGAUCUUGGUGGUAGUAGCAAAUAAUCGAAUGAGACCUUGGAGGACUGAAGUGGAGAAGGGUUUCGUGUGAACAGUGGUUGAUCACGAGUUAGUCGGUCCUAAGUUCAGGCGAAAGCCGAAAAUUUUCAAGUAAUAAAUGACUAUAUAUUACAAAAUGCCAAUUAAUAUACUUGAAUAAUUUUGAACGAAAGGGAAUACGGUUCCAAUUCCGUAACCUGUUGAGUAUCCGUUUGUUAUUAAAUAUGGGCCUCGUGCUCAUCCUGGCAACAGGACGACCAUAAAGAAGCCGUCGAGAGAUAUCGGAGAGUUUUCUUUUCUGUUUUAUAGCCGUACUACCAUGGAAGUCUUUCGCAGAGAGAUAUGGUAGAUGGCUAGAAGAGCAUGACAUAUACUGUUGUGUCGAUAUUUUCUCCUCGGACCUUGAAAAUUUAUGGUGGGAUACGCAACUUCUCAACAGGCCGUACCAAUAUCCGCAGCUGGUCUCCAAGUGAAGAGUCUCUAGUCGAUAGAAUAAUGUAGUAAGGGAAGUCGGCAAAUUAGAUCCGUAACUUCGGGAUAGGAUUGGCUCUGAGAUUGAGAUAGUCGGGCUUGAUUGGGAAACAAUAACAUGGUUUAUGUGCUCGUUCUGGGUAAAUAGAGUUUCUAUCAUUUAUGUUAGUUGCUUGUUCCCCGGAUAGUUUAGUUACGUAGCCAAUUGUGGAACUUUCUUGCUAAAAUUUUUAAGAAUACUAGUUGGGUCAAACCAAUUAGUUCUUAUUAAUUAUAACGAUUAUCAAUUAACAAUCAAUUCAGAACUGGCACGGACUUGGGGAAUCCGACUGUCUAAUUAAAACAAAGCAUUGUGAUGGCCCUAGCGGGUGUUGACACAAUGUGAUUUCUGCCCAGUGCUCUGAAUGUCAAAGUGAAGAAAUUCAAGUAAGCGCGGGUCAACGGCGGGAGUAACUAUGACUCUCUUAAGGUAGCCAAAUGCCUCGUCAUCUAAUUAGUGACGCGCAUGAAUGGAUUAACGAGAUUCCUACUGUCCCUAUCUACUAUCUAGCGAAACCACAGCCAAGGGAACGGGCUUGGAAUAAUUAGCGGGGAAAGAAGACCCUUUUGAGCUUGACUCUAAUCUGGCAGUGUAAGGAGACAUAAGAGGUGUAGAAUAAGUGGGAGAUAUUAGACUUCGGUUUGGUAUCGACAAUGAAAUACCACUACUCUUAUUGUUUCCUUACUUACUUGAUUAAAUGGAACGUGUAUCAUUUCCUAGCCAUUAUACGGAUAUAUUUAUUAUAUCUUAUGGUAUUGGGUUUGAUGCAAGCUUCUUGAUCAAAGUAUCACGAGUUUGUUAUAUAAUCGCAAACAAAUUCUUUAAUGAGACGAUGCAUUUAUGUAUUUUUGAUUUGAAAAUUUGGUAUAACUCCAAUUACUCAGGUAUGAUCCAAUUCAAGGACAUUGCCAGGUAGGGAGUUUGACUGGGGCGGUACAUCUCUCAAAUAAUAACGGAGGUGUCCCAAGGCCAGCUCAGUGCGGACAGAAACCACACAUAGAGCAAAAGGGCAAAUGCUGACUUGAUCUCGGUGUUCAGUACACACAGGGACAGCAAAAGCUCGGCCUAUCGAUCCUUUUGGUUUAAAGAGUUUUUAACAAGAGGUGUCAGAAAAGUUACCAUAGGGAUAACUGGCUUGUGGCGGCCAAGCGUUCAUAGCGACGUCGCUUUUGAUCCUUCGAUGUCGGCUCUUCCUAUCAUUGUGAAGCAAAAUUCACCAAGCGUUGGAUUGUUCACCCAUGCAAGGGAACGUGAGCUGGGUUUAGACCGUCGUGAGACAGGUUAGUUUUACCCUACUAAUGACAAAACGUUGUUGCGACAGCAUUCCUGCGUAGUACGAGAGGAACCGCAGGUACGGACCAAUGGCACAAUACUUGUUCGAGCGAACAGUGGUAUGACGCUACGUCCGUUGGAUUAUGCCUGAACGCCUCUAAGGUCGUAUCCGUGCUGGACUGCAAUGAUAAAUAAGGGGCAAUUUGCAUUGUAUGGCUUCUAAACCAUUUAAAGUUUGU